rnacentral:rRNA from 1 species
UCAAGUCAUCAUGCCCCUUAUGUCCAGGGCUUCACACAUGCUACAAUGGCCGGUACAAAGGGCUGCGAAGCCGUGAGGUGGAGCGAAUCCCUGCAAAGCCGGUCGUAGUCCGGAUCGGAGUCUGCAACUCGACUCCGUGAAGUCGGAAUCGCUAGUAAUCGCGAAUCAGCAAUGUCGCGGUGAAUACGUUCCCGGGUCUU